AUGGGGUGCAGCAGGGGAGAAAACUUUGCAAUGUGCGAAAGCACGACAAGGUUAAUCCGAGUGUUUUCUGCUAAAGAAAUCUUUUGUUAGUUCUAAAACCACUAACGAAUAAGGGGUGGGCAAGUUCUGGUGUCAGCCGCCGCGGUAAAACCAGCACCUCAAGUGGUCAGGAUGAUUAUUGGGCCUAAAGCAUCCGUAGCCGGCUAUGUUAGUUUUCGGUUAAAUCCAUGUGCUCAACACAUGGGCUGUCGAGAAUACUGCAUAGCUAGGGAGUGGGAGAGGUAGACGGUACUCGGUAGGAAGGGGUAAAAUCCUUUGAUCUAUCGAUGACCACCAGUGGCGAAGGCGGUCUACCAGAACAUGUCCGACGGUGAGGGAUGAAAGCUGGGGGAGCAAACCGGAUUAGAUACCCGGGUAGUCCCAGCUGUAAACUAUGCAAACUCAGUGAUGCAUUGGCUUGUGGCCAGUGCAGUGCCGCAGAGAAGUCGUUAAGUUUGCCGCCUGGGAAGUACGUACGCAAGUAUGAAACUUAAAGGAAUUGGCGGGGGAGCAC
rnacentral:rRNA from 1 species